rnacentral:rRNA from 1 species
UACGGGGGGGGUAAGCGUUGUUCGGAAUUACUGGGCGUAAAGGGCUCGUAGGCGGCCAACUAAGUCAGACGUGAAAUCCCUCAGCUUAACUGGGGAACUGCGUCUGAUACUGGAUGGCUUGGAUCCGGGAGAGGGAUGCGGAAUUCCAGGUGUAGCGGUGAAAUGCGUAGAUAUCUGGAGGAACACCGGUGGCAAAGGCGGCAUCCUGGACCGGUAUUGACGCUGAGGCGCGAAAGCCAGGGGAGCAAACGGG